rnacentral:rRNA from 1 species
CCUCACGGCACUUGCGCGGUUGUCCCACCUGACCCCAUGCCGAACUCAGAAGUGAAACGCCGUAGCGCCGAUGGUAGUGUGGGGUCUCCCCAUGUGAGAGUAGGGAACUGCCAGGC